AGAUUGAACGCUGGCGGCAGGCCUAACACAUGCAAGUCGAGCGGCAGCACGGGUACUUGUACCUGGUGGCGAGCGGCGGACGGGUGAGUAAUGCCUAGGAAUCUGCCUGGUAGUGGGGGGAUAACGCUCGGAAACGGACGCUAAUACCGCAUACGUCCUACGGGAGAAAGCAGGGGACCUUCGGGCCUUGCGCUAUCAGAUGAGCCUAGGUCGGAUUAGCUAGUUGGUGAGGUAAUGGCUCACCAAGGCGACGAUCCGUAACUGGUCUGAGAGGAUGAUCAGUCACACUGGAACUGAGACACGGUCCAGACUCCUACGGGAGCAGCAGUGGGAAUUUGGACAAGUGGGGGAAACCUGAUCCAGCCACUCCCGCGUGUCGCGAGUAGG
rnacentral:rRNA from 1 species